ensembl:snoRNA small nucleolar RNA SNORD59
UCUUCAAUGACGAUUGAUACAGUGACUUUCGUUCUUCUGAGUUUACUGAAGCCAACCAUUCUGUUCUGAGAAGA